AGGACGAACGCUGGCGGCGUGCUUAACACAUGCAAGUCGAGCGGAAAGGCCCUUCGGGGUACUCGAGCGGCGAACGGGUGAGUAACACGUGAGCAACCUGCCCUUAGCUCCGGGAUAGCUCCGGGAAACCGGAAUUAAUACCGGAUACAACCACGGCCGACAUCUGCUGUGGUGGAAAGGAUUCCGGCUAAGGAUGGGCUCGCGGCCUAUCAGCUAGUUGGUGGAGUAACGGCCCACCAAGGGCGACGACGGGUA
rnacentral:rRNA from 1 species